GCUUACGGCCAUACCAGCCUGAAAGUGCCCGAUCUCGUCAGAUCUCGGAAGCUAAGCAGGGUCGGCCCUGGUUGUACUUGGAUGGGAGACUUCCUAGGAAUACCAGGUGCUGUAAGCA
rnacentral:rRNA from 1 species